rnacentral:rRNA from 1 species
AGAAUGCCGCGGUGAAUACGUUCCCGGGUCUUGUACACACCGCCCGUCACACCACGGGAGUCGGAAAUGCCCGAAGUCUGUGACCCAACCAUUAAGGAGGGAGCAGCCGAAGGCAGGUCGGAUGACUGGGGUGAAGUCGUAACAAGGUACC